rnacentral:lncRNA from 1 species
UCCAUACCUUGUUUGAAACGUAGUCUUCUAUUCAUUUCUUUCUUUGAUGUGUACCAUAUUGUAUGUUCUUUAUAGAUCUAUUUUUGUAUAGAUCUUAGCUUCAUUCAACUGAUCAAAGAGUUUAGAUAUCAAAGGUAGCGGUGUCGUAAUAUGUAAAGUCUUGCUUGAGAAUGCUUUGAGCACUUGGCUAUGGAAGGUAGAAAAGAAAUUGCAACAAUAAAAUCCUAAUUCUAAUAGAAUACUAACUAAACUCUAAUUACACCAUAACAACGCUAUACAAAGCUCUAAUCAAAUUCAAAGAAACCUCAAAAGAAUUACAAAGAAAUAAUAAAGAAUCUUAAAGAAAUAUUUGAAUGAUCACUAAUAUACCUCAAAUACAUCUCAAUUCAAUUUUAAUUUAAUUCUAGUUAAAAUCCUAUUGGGCAUCAUUCAAACUUUAGGCCAAAAACUAACUAAAUCUUAAAUCCUAAAUAAAUCCUAAUAAAAUCCUAAACUCUAAACCAAAUCCUAACCAAAUUCUAAAUCAACCUUAAUCAAAUCCUAAACCUUAAAUCAAACCCUAAUCAAACCUUAAAUUCUAAAUCAAAUCCUAAAUUCUAGAGUAAAUCUUAAACAAAUUCUAAUCCUAAAUCAAACCUUAAUCAAAUCUUAAAUCCUAAAUCAAAUCCUAAUCUUAAAUCAAAUCCUAACCGAAUCCUAACCCUAAAUCAAAUCCUAAUCAAAUCCUAAUCCUAAAUCAAAUCCAAACCUAACCCUAAAUAAAAUCCUAAUCAGAUCCUAAUCCUAAAUCAAAUCCAAACUAAAUCCUAAAUUAUAAACCUAAUUCUAAACAAACCUUAAAUCCUAAACCAAAUCUUAAAUCCUAAAUCAAAUCCUAACCAAAUUCUAACCCUAAAUCAAAUCCUAAUCAAAUCUUAAAUCCUAAAUCAAAUCCUAAAUUCUAAACCAAUUUCUAACUACAUCCUAAUCCUAAAUCAAAUUCUAAUCAAAUCCUAAAUCAAACUCUAAUCAAAUCCUAAAUC